UCCUUUUGUUGAUAAUUUAAGGUCUAACCUGCCCACUGAGAUUUUAAAUGGCCGUGGUAUUUUGACCGUGCUAAGGUAGCAUAAUCAUUAGUUUUUUAAUUAAGAACUGGAAUGAAAGGUUGGAUAAGAAAAUAGCUGUCUCUGUUAAAUUUAAUUAGAAUUUUAUUUUUAAGUUAAAAAGCUUAAUUAUUAUUAAAAGACGAGAAGACCCUAUAGAGUUUAAUUAUUUAAUAAAAAAUAUAUUUUAGUAUUUAUUUAUUUAUUUUAUUAAAUAAUUUAAUUGGGGUGAUUGAAAAAUUUAUUUAACUUUUUUUAUUUUAAAACAUUAAUUUAUGAGCAUAUGAUCCAAUAUUUUUGAUUAUAAGAUAAAAUUACCUUAGGGAUAACAGCGUAAUUUUUUUAGAAAGUUCAUAUUAAAAAAAAAGAUUGCGACCUCGAUGUUGGAUUAAAAUAAAUUUUUGGCGUAGAAGCUAAAAAUAUUAGGUCUGUUCGACCUUUAAAAUUUUACAUGAUCU
rnacentral:rRNA from 1 species